rnacentral:rRNA from 1 species
CCUACGGGAGGCAGCAGUGGGGAAUAUUGCACAAUGGGGGAAACCCUGAUGCAGCGACGCCGCGUGAGUGAAGAAGUAUUUCGGUAUGUAAAGCUCUAUCAGCAGGGAAGAAAAUGAAGGUACUUGAUUAAGAAGCCCCGGCUAACUACGUGCCAGCAGCCGCGGUAAUACGGAGGGUGCAAGCGUUAGCCGGAUUUACCGGGUGUAAAGGGAGCGUAGGCGGCGGCAGAAGUCUGGAGUGAAAUGCCCGGGCUUAACCCGGGAACUGCAUUGGAAACUGUGCAGCUAGAGGGCAGGAGAGGUAAGUAGAAUUCCUGGUGUAGCGGUGAAAUGCGUAGAGAUUAGGAGGAACACCAGUGGCGAAGGCGGCUUCCUGGACUGUAACUGACGUUGAGGCUCGAAAGCGUGGGGAGCAAACAGGAUUAGAUACCCGGGUAGUC